GGAGGCAUAGCUCAGCCGGUUAGAGCGUUCGCUUCACACGCGAGAGGUCAUGCGUUCGAGUCGCAUUGUCUCCA
rnacentral:tRNA from 1 species